rnacentral:lncRNA from 1 species
CCGUUUUCAAACAAAGAUCAAUAUUGGCUUUUCCAAGCCCUAUGCUAAGGAUGGCUUUUCCAAGCCCUACAACUAAGGGUGUUACACUCUCAAAGAGAGAGAAAAUAUGUCUUUCAAUUCUUCAUCAUUCAAAAUCUCCCAAGAAAUGAGCUAAAAUGACCUAUUUAUAGUGUAAUACAAAAGAAGACAAAAAGACCACUUUGCCCUUAAUGAUAGGUGUGGCUAUGGUGUGUAAAU